ensembl:lncRNA
UGAGUCCAGAUUCUCUGAUUUGAAGGACCAUACUCUUUGGACAGCUGCACCUUGCCUCUUUAUAGAUUAUUCUCUUAUUAGAAUUUUUAUUUUCUUUCCACGUGUCAGAGGUUGUACAGUUCUAACCAAGACUUCAGAUAUUCAAGAGCCAUCAAAGAAAAUAGGAGAGAGCGGAAAUGAAGAAUAUAGAAGGCUGAAGAAGAACUACCAAUGGCUUCCUUGCUCCAUGGUGUUCUAUCCUACCUGCUGGAGCUAGUGCAUAUAACCACAGUACAAGUAUUUCUAGAAGAUUGUUGCGUCCUUAUGAAGACCUUUGAGCACAACAGGAAGGUGAGGGGACAUUUAAUAUUACUGAAAUGGGAUAUGAAAUUAGCCACAAGGAAGUCCUCCAGGAAAAAAGGUUGGGUCAAUAAAACCAAUUGCCAUUUACCUGGAAGUGAAGAUUAUCUGAUGAGAAUAAUAGAUGUGGUGGUGGAAGAUGAACUGACAAACAGAAUGAAUAUCUGCAAACACUUCACCUUGAACCUGAGACAUGGAUUCUGAUAGCCAUGAGUGUCCAGCCAUGGAAUUAAGAAACCACUGCUCUUUGCAAAUAUGGGCAAACACCAGGGACUCAUUUAAGGACUUGGGGAUCAUGAAGAAUCUGUACAACAUAAAAGUCUUAGGAAUAAUGUUUGAGAAAUGGAAAAGAAAAUAUAUUUAUUAUAGCACAUGUUGAUGUUAGAUUCCCAAGCUCCCCUGCCUUUAAAUUCAUGUCCAAAUACACAGCAUUGCAUAUAUAUUUAUACAUAACAUGAAAAUAAAUUACAUUUUGAUUAACA